AAAUGUCUGCUUGGUCGAAAGAGUUAAAUGAUAUUCGUAAAAAUCUCGAUAGUGUGAACAACUCUCUGUCAUUGGGUUAAAAAUUACUCGAGGCUGCUUAUUCAUAUAUGGAGAUGAAUAAAAUGAAUGAAAUUGAUGAAACUAUAAAAAAGAUUAAAGGGAUCAUUGAUGAUUCAAAGAUUACUUAUCGGAGGCUUGAUAAGUUUAAAAGCAAAUAUGAAGGGGUUAAGAGAGCAGGUGCUGUGCCUUCAUUGCAUCUUGAAGAACUACUUAAAGAAUUUCAAACUACUGUUGAGUUUAAACAAGAUUUAAUCACUUUUUGCAAUGACUAUAACAAAGGUGAAAUGGAACAAGCAAGUGAAAAGUUUUGAGAUCGAUGGUGCACGGGCUGCAUUAAGUCUGGCAGAUACUCGACUUGGCUUUUAUUAGAUCAAAGUUCUGCCUUAUAUUACACUUUGGAAUGAAAGACUUGACUUUGGAUCAACCAACGAUUGUUAUUGAUGAGACAAUUGAAGUUUCGGGUCCCACAAGUGAAUGAAAUGAUCCUUUAUCUAGCUUGCUUUGUGGCUUUGAACUUGUCUUGAAUUUAUGUAACUUGUGGACUCUUGAACUUAUGGAUUCUAGUUUUGAAUUUAAAUUCAUGGACUCUUAAACUCU